AUCUCUGCAAUAGAGAUCUUCUUCAGGAGUAGGAAUGGACGAGCAGAAAUCAAACUGCGAAGAAAAUGAUUCAGAAACUGCAGCUGAUGAUGGGACCCCUUCAAAGGAGAGCGUCCAAGUUGAGGGGGAACUGAGUGACCCUGUUGCUGCAGAGGACAUCUCAGGCACUACUGUGGACACUUCCAGCUCAUCAUUGGAGUCUGUCAGGGCCUGUGCUCUUUGUAACUGUGUGGAGCGUAGUCUGCAUGGACAGCGGGAGCUCCAGUGUUUUGGACCCUCUUCCGAUCGGCCCAGCUUGGAGCCCUCUGUCUCCUCUUUGCCAGCAGCUGGAAAUGAUGACCUGUCUUCCAUUGGAUUCUCUGAAUCCACCUGUCUGGCAUCUCUCUUUGAUGACACCGGUAUGAUAAUGAAAACAAACUGUUUGAAUCUUAGUGAUGUCACUUUCAGCCAUGUGAUUAUUGUAAACGGAUGGGUGCUACCAUCCGGUGCCGGGCCGAAGGCUGCUCACGGUUCUACCACUUCCCCUUGCUCGGCUGCGAGUGGAUCAUUCCAGUCCAUGAAGCAGCUGGCGCUCCUCUGUCCAGAGCACAUAGACAAGGCCGAGGAGAUUGGUAUAGGAGUUGCAGCAGAACAGAUGCAAUAUCAUCAGUAAAUAACGUUUCAGUUUCAGCGGUGCCUGAGAUGAUGCUGUGUUUUGUUUUUUGCAGCCGGCAGCACUAUCAUGAUGCCUGUCUAGAGAUCAGUGCCACACCACUUCAGCGGUCAGGUUGGCAGUGUCCCGAGUGCAAGGUGUGCCAGACCUGCAGGUAUGUUUGAAUGCUUCGUGCAUGUUUAUAUCAUGAAACUUAUCAGUGGUGCGCUGAAAUUUUGGCAAAUAUUUGUCCGAUACAGCAAUUUUUGAUUUCAUUUGUUAGAAACAGUGAUGUUUAAUUAGUGUUUCUCCAGUGGUACGUUUUGACUCUGUUAGUGUCUAUUUUAUGUACACAACAUUAUAUAAACUACAACACUAGUGCUGGAUUACCAAAAUUGAUAUCUGUUUUUAAUCACUGCCUAUACGGAUUCUUAACGAUCUCAAGAUCAUCUUUUAGUUUGUUUUCUGUUGAUGCGUGAACUUCACUAAUUGCAAUAAGUUUUGUGCUGUUGCUUUUAAUAUGAGACAAAGUCUAAGCUUUUGAAUUCUGUCAGUUUUAUAACGAAAUACAGUAAAUGUGGUUUUGAUUAUCUUUAUUGUGGCAAUGAACAUCAGAAUGUGUUAAAAGAAACAGUACAGCAUGCUGGAAUGUAUCAUGUCUCAUGUAAUCUUUUUCUAUUCUAUCUGUUUUCUUUUUAUUUAUUAUAUUAUUUAAAAGCCCUUGCUACGUGUACUGCGUUUAAGCUAACUGAGACUUGUUAUAGCACUUAUAUAUCAUUGCUCUUUUGUUGUUUUUGAUUGCUUCCAUUGUCCUCAUUUGUAAGUUACUUUGGAUAAAAGCGUCUGCUAAAUGACUAAAUGUAAAUGUAAUUGUUCAAUCAGUGUUUCAACAGUGGAAAGACACAUAUAACAGCUUGUAGACAUGCUAUAUUUACCACAGGAAAGACACUGAGCGUCUGUAAUCUUGAAAGUAAACUAGGCAAAAUCACUCUAGAUAAGAGCAUUUUGAUAAAUGUGUGCUAUAUUACAAAUGUAUUAUAUUUUUUACUUUUAACCCAUUAUCUUCAUUAUUUAUUGUAUGUUUGAAUAAAUAUUUAAUGAAAACGAGCUAUUACAGCCAGCAUUUAAAAUGUUUAUAUUUUGCCAACCAAUUUGGAGUAGAAACAAUUGUUAAUAAAAUUGGAUAUAAAGCAUUAUUUGAACUUAAAUGUUUGAACAACUCCGUUUUUUUUAUUAUGUUGAUUUUUUACUAUUUGUAUUAUUUUAUUUUAUUUCUUAAAUUAAAAAUUGUAUUUUCUAUUUUUAUUUUCGGUCCAAGUGCAUCCUGGUCUAGAUGCUUCACUGUAUUUAUAUUGAUGUUUGUCUAAAGACUUUGUGGUAUGUGUGUUCUUUUAAUUAACAUCCAGGCAACCAGGGAGGAUUCAAAGAUGCUGGUUUGCGAUGCUUGUGACAAGGGCUACCACACCUUCUGUCUACUGCCGGCCAUGGACUCUGUGCCCCCUGAUUCAUGGAAGUGCAAAGUAAGCUUAAACCCAUGACUCAUUCUAACGUGCCCUUCAUCAUUUUUAGUAUUAUCUUCUUUACUUCUUAUUAUUAAUCUUACAAAACAGUUGUGUUGCUUAAUGUGAAUUAUAUGUUUUCAGGGUUCUUUGAUUAAUAGAAAGUUCUAAAGAACAAAAUUUAUUUUAAAUAGAAAUAUUUUGUAACAACAUAAAUGUCUUUUGAACAAAGCAAAUUUGAAUUACUAUUUAGGAAUUUAAAUAAUUCAGUUCUGAAUGAUGUAUUGCAGUUGUUCUCUGUAUGGUGGGCUAGCUGGUGAUACCCAGCCCUAGUUUCUUUUCUCUGUGAGUUUUAUUGACUGAUAU
rnacentral:lncRNA from 1 species